rnacentral:rRNA from 1 species
CUUUACUGUAACUUGAAAUUGAAAUUGGACUUUAUUUGCGCAGGAUAGGUGGGAGGCGUUGAGAAUAUUCUUGCGGGAAUAUUGGAGCCAUCAGUGAGAUACCACUCUUGUAAUGUUAGAUUUCUAACUUUGUAUCAUUAUCUGGUCAAAGAACAGUUUCAGGCGGGCAGUUUGACUGGGGCGGUCGCCUCCUAAACGGUAACGGAGGCGCACAAAGGUUUCCUCUGAACGGGUAGAAAUCGUAUCUAGAGUGUAAAGGCAUAAGGAAGCUUGACUGUGAGACCUACAAGUCGAGCAGGGACGAAAGUCGGUCUUAGUGAUCUGACGGUGCUGAGUGGAAAGGCCGUCACUCAACGGAUAAAAGUUA